UAGAAUAUAUCAAAGAGAAAGAUUUAAAAGAUAAAUAAAUAGUCAGAAAUAAAUCCCACUUCACCCCCUACAAGGGAAAGGACAAAUAUUUAGAUGCGCAUAUAGACACGAUUUCAAAAUUUCCCCUAAAUACCCACAGAUGCAAACAAAAUCUUCGUGAAGAAGAAAAGGAAGCCUUACAAACACU